AGGCAGUGUAUUGUUAGUUAGCUGUUGUUCACAUACCAGCAACUAAAUACGCUUCCACA
rnacentral:pre_miRNA from 1 species